GACGAACGCUGGCGGCGUGCUUAACACAUGCAAGUCGAACGCUGAAGACCUGGCUUUUGUUGGGUUGGAUGAGUGGCGAACGGGUGAGUAACACGUGAGUAACCUGCCCUCUUCUUUGGGAUAACGCCCGGAAACGGGUGCUAAUACUGGAUAUUCACUGAUCUUCGCAUGGGGGUUGGUGGAAAGGUUUGUUCUGGUGGGGGAUGGGCUCGCGGCCUAUCAGCUUGUUGGUGGGGUGAUGGCCUACCAAGGCUUUGUCGGGUAGCCGGCCUGAGAGGGUGACCGGUCACAUUGGGACUGAGAUACGGCCCAGACUCCUACGGGAGGCAGCAGUGGGGAAUAUUGCACAAUGGGCGAAAGCCUGAUGCAGCGACGCCGCGUGAGGGAUGGAGGCCUUCGGGUUGUAAACCUCUUUCGCUCAUGGUCAAGCCGCAACUGUGGGUUGUGGUGAGGGUAGUGGGUAAAGAAGCGCCGGCUAACUACGUG
rnacentral:rRNA from 1 species